GACGUAGGGCGCGAGCGUUGUCCGGAUUUAUUGGGCGUAAAGAGCUCGUAGGCGGCUUGUCGCGUCGUCCGUGAAAACCAGGGGCUCAACCCCUGGCUUGCGGUCGAUACGGGCAGGCUAGAGUUCGGUAGGGGAGAUCGGAAUUCCUGGUGUAGCGGUGAAAUGCGCAGAUAUCAGGAGGAACACCGGUGGCGAAGGCGGAUCUCUGGGCCGAUACUGACGCUGAGGAGCGAAAGCGUGGGGAGCGAACAGG
rnacentral:rRNA from 1 species